GACCCCGUAGCUCAACUGGAUAGAGCAAUUGACUUCUAAUCAAUAGGCUGAGGGUUCGAGUCCUUCCGGGGUCGCCA
rnacentral:tRNA from 1 species